UACAGAGGGGGCAAGCGUUAUUCGGAAUUAUUGGGCGUAAAGGGCGCGUAGGCGGCUUUGCAAGUGGCGGGUGAAAUCCCUCGGCUUAACCGAGGAACUGCCUGCCAGACUGUGAGGCUUGAGACCGGGAGAGGUGAGUGGAAUUCCCAGUGUAGCGGUGAAAUGCGUAGAUAUCUGGAGGAACACCGGUGGCGAAGGCGACGUCCUGGACCGGCAUUGACGCUGAGGCGCGAAAGCCAGGGGAGCAAACGGG
rnacentral:rRNA from 1 species